rnacentral:rRNA from 1 species
UACGUAGGGUGCAAGCGUUGUCCGGAAUUAUUGGGCGUAAAGAGCUCGUAGGCGGUCUGUCGCGUCUGCUGUGAAAACUCGGGGCUUAACCCCGGGCCUGCAGUGGGUACGGGCAGACUAGAGUGCGGUAGGGGAGAACUGGAAUUCCUGGUGUAGCGGUGAAAUGCGCAGAUAUCAGGAGGAACACCGGUGGCGAAGGCGGCUUGCUGGGCCAGUUCUGACGCUGAGGAGCGAAAGCGUGGGGAGCGAACAGG